UCCCAGACUCCUACGGGAGGCAGCAGUGGGGGAUAUUGCACAAUGGGGGGAACCCUGAUGCAGCGACGCCGCGUGAACGAAGAAAUAUUUCGGUAUGUAAAGUUCUAUCAGCAGGGAAGAAAAGGACAGUACCUGACCAAGAAGCCCCGGCUAACUACGUGCCAGCAGCCGCGGUAAUACGUAGGGGGCGAGCGUUAUCCGGAUUCACUGGGCGUAAAGGGAGCGCAGGCGGCACGGCAAGUCCGGUGUGAAAGCCCGGGGCCCAGCCCCGGGUCUGCACUGGUAACUGCCGGGCUGGGGUGUCGGAGGGGCAGGCGGACUUCCUAGUUUACCGUUGCGAUG
rnacentral:rRNA from 1 species